rnacentral:tRNA from 1 species
GAGGGUAUAGCUCAGUGGUAGAGUAUGUGUUUAGCAUGCACGAGGUCCUGGGUUCAACCCCCAGUGCCUCA